rnacentral:snoRNA from 1 species
AUGCAUCUCUGAGAGACCUAGAGCAAUUAAUGCCUGCUAGGGUUUCCACCACAGAUGCAAGAGAAAGAAGAUCCUCAUGCUUUCUGUCUGGUUGUGGUCACCAAGUCUGAUUGGGGGAGUACAGGA